rnacentral:rRNA from 1 species
UACGUAGGGGGCUAGCGUUGUCCGGAAUCAUUGGGCGUAAAGAGCGCGUAGGCGGCCCGGUAAGUCGCUGUGAAAGUCAAAGGCUCAACCUUUGAAUGUCAGCGGAUACUGCCGGGCUAGAGUCCGGAAGAGGCGAGUGGAACUCCUGGUGUAGCGGUGGAAUGCGCAGAUAUCAGGAAGAACACCAACGGCGAAGGCAGCUCGCUGGGACGGAACUGACGCUGAGGCGCGAAAGCGUGGGGAGCGAACAGG